GAAAAAGCAGAGCAGAAGAGCUGUUGGGUUGCUAAAAAUGCUGAAGGCUAAGCUGCAAAGUCUGGACAAGCUCCCCGUUUCAAUCAGCCCAGUAUGAAGCAGUGUGAAUGAAAAGACUACACCAGGAGGAUCUGCCUUCAAAUCUCAACCUUGUUCAGGGACAACAAGCAAAACAUCCCACCCUCCUGCCUCUGUUUCCACACAGUACAGGCUAUGCUUGGGUAGCAGAGGGUGCCUUCCAGGGUAGCAGAGAACCUCCCUGAUCAACAAGGAGACAGACACUGGAAAGCCAUGAUUCCACAAACACAGCUAUUGGCAAAG
rnacentral:lncRNA from 1 species